rnacentral:rRNA from 1 species
UACGAAGGGGGCUAGCGUUGCUCGGAAUCACUGGGCGUAAAGCGCACGUAGGCGGACUCUUAAGUCAGGGGUGAAAUCCUGGAGCUCAACUCCAGAACUGCCUUUGAUACUGGGAGUCUUGAGUUCGGGAGAGGUGAGUGGAACUGCGAGUGUAGAGGUGAAAUUCGUAGAUAUUCGCAAGAACACCAGUGGCGAAGGCGGCUCACUGGCCCGAUACUGACGCUAAGGUGCGAAAGCGUGGGGAGCAAACAGG